GAGCUAGUGAGGCGCAGUGGUUUGAGUGUUGGACUAUGAUUCUGAAGAUCAGUGUUCGAUUCCCAGCUUGGCCA